rnacentral:rRNA from 1 species
GAUGAACGCUGGCGGCGUGCCUAAUACAUGCAAGUCGAGCGAACGGACGAGAAGCUUGCUUCUCUGAUGUUAGCGGCGGACGGGUGAGUAACACGUGGAUAACCUACCUAUAAGACUGUGAUAACUUCGGGAAACCGGAGCUAAUACCGGAUAAUAUUUUGAACCGCAUGGUUCAAAAGUGAAAGACGGUCUUGCUGUCACUUAUAGAUGGAUCCGCGCUGCAUUAGCUAGUUGGUAAGGUAACGGCUUACCAAGGCAACGAUGCAUAGCCGACCUGAGAGGGUGAUCGGCCACACUGGAACUGAGACACGGUCCAGACUCCUACGGGAGGCGGCAGUAGGGAAUCUUCCGCAAUGGGCGAAAGCCUGACGGAGCAACGCCGCGUGAGUGAUGAAGGUCUUCGGAUCGUAAAACUCUGUUAUUAGGGAAGAACAUAUGUGUAAGUAACUGUGCACAUCUUGACGGUACCUAAUCAGAAAGCCACGGCUAACUACGUG